UUUAGCCAUCAACAAAUAUUAAAGGCAACGCCUGCCCAGUGAAUAAUUAAACGGCCGCGGUACCCUAACCGUGCAAAGGUAGCAUAAUCAUUUGUCUAUUAAUUGUAGACCAGCAUGAAAGGCAAAAUGAGGGUUUAACUGUCUCUUAUAGUAAAUCAAUUAAACUGAUCUCCUAGUAAAAAAGCUAGAAUACCCCCAUAAGACCAGAAGACCCUGUGAAGCUUAAACUAAACUACUAAAUCGUAUAGCAAUUACUUUCGGUUGGGGCGACCUUGGAAAAAAAAAGAACUUCCAAAUACAAUGAUUAUAAACCAUCCACCGGCCUACAAGCCCACAAUUUAGACCCAGCAUAGCUGACAAUUGAACCAAGUUACUCCAGGGAUAACAGCGCUAUCUUCUUCAAGAGUCCAUAUCAAAAAGAAGGUUUACGACCUCGAUGUUGGAUCAGGACAUCCUAAUGGUGCAGCCGCUAUUAAGGGUUCGUUUGUUCAACGAUUAACAGUC
rnacentral:rRNA from 1 species